AGAGCCGGUCGGAUAGUUGCUCUCAAUCUGCAGAUUGCAUUAUUGAGAGAGGAAAGUCCGAGCACCGCAGGAUAGGAUGCCUUCUAACGGAAGGACCCCCUAUAUUGUGGGGAUGGAAAGUGCAACAGAAAAUAUACCGCCGUCGAUACGUUUAGGGCUUGCUCUGAGUUUGUCGAAGGGCAAGGGUGAAAUGGUGGUGUAAGAGACCACCAGGUUUUGAUGUAAAUCAGAAUGCUUGUAAACCCCAUCCGGUGCAAGACCAAGUAUACCCCAAGAUGUAAUCCGCAUCAUUAUUCGGGGAGGGUUGGUCGCGUGAUCCUGAUAGUAAUAUCGGGACCAGAUGAAUGACUAUCAAUUACAGAACUCGGCUUAUAGAUUGGCUCUCAUU
rnacentral:RNase_P_RNA from 1 species